UUGUCUGCAAUAAUGGAGCCCAUCAUUGCAAACCGGUUGUUCUGGCUAUGUCUGGGCGAACUAAAAUAUUCACACUAAGGCCAAACCUAACAACCCAUCGGAACAAGGCCCCGCUUCAUAAAAUUACUGCUUGCGCCUGGUGUGUAGAUUAGCAGAACCGGAAACGGAAAUGACGAAUGACGACUCGUCCGUGUAUUAUGAUGAAUACCUAAACAGAACGACUCUGGACGAGUUCCAAUCCGAGGCGGACCUCGACUUUUCUGGCACCCUUCGGGAUCGUCGAGGCUCUAUAGGUCAAAGUAUGAUCUCCGAAGGUGGACGAAGCGGGAGGGAUGUGUACGGUAAGUCUGCAAGAAAACG